rnacentral:rRNA from 1 species
UGGUGGAGUGAUUUGUCUGCUUAAUUGCGAUAACGAACGAGACCUUAACCUGCUAAAUAGCCAGGCCCGCUUUGGCGGGUCGCCGGCUUCUUGGAGGGACUAUCGGCUCAAGCCGAUGGAAGUUUGAGGCAAUAACA